rfam:Colius striatus contig11928, whole genome shotgun sequence.
CCCCUGCCUCUGUCUGAUAUGUUUGAUAUUAGGUUGUUUGAUUGGAAAACCCAACUAAAUAUCAAACAUAUUCUUACAGCGCCAGGGA